AAUCAAUCCCCGAACGUGCUCCCCAUCGACUCCGGAACUCCACCAGGAUGUGAGAUGGAAGCAGAGUCGACGGGGGAACCGCGGCCGUUGAUCCAGCGCCGUGAGGACGGGGAGAGGUUCUUCACACAAUUUAACUUGGAGGAAGAUGCUUGUUACAGUAAGGACUGAAAGAUAGACAAGUUAUGAUACACAGGUUCAGAAGAAUCCAGUUAUCACUUUCCACUUCAAUUCUCUCCAGCUGGGUCACGCUGUGUACAACUGGAAACGCCG